rnacentral:rRNA from 1 species
ACUCCUACGGGAGGCAGCAGUGGGGAAUAUUGCACAAUGGGCGCAAGCCUGAUGCAGCCAUGCCGCGUGUGUGAAGAAGGCCUUCGGGUUGUAAAGCACUUUCAGCAGUGAGGAAGGCGGAGUCGUUAAUAGCGGCCUCGUUGUACGUUAGCUGCAGAAGAAGCACCGGCUAACUCCGUGCCAGCAGCCGCGGUAAUACGGAGGGUGCGAGCGUUAAUCGGAAUUACUGGGCGUAAAGCGCAUGCAGGUGGUUUGUUAAGUCAGAUGUGAAAGCCCGGGGCUCAACCUCGGAAUAGCAUUUGAAACUGGCAGACUAGAGUACUGUAGAGGGGGUAGAAUUUCAGGUGUAGCGGUGAAAUGCGUAGAGAUCUGAAGGAAUACCGGUGGCGAAGGCGGCCCCUGGACAGAUACUGACACUCAGAUGCGAAAGCGUGGGAGCAAACAGGAUUAGAUACCCCUGGUAGCGACUGA